CAACAACACCACCAGUCUGUGAGGCCGGGUUCUACGUCGCACUCAUCUUCGCAGAUAUAGCAAAUGGCAACAAGUGGUAAAUUACCUUCAGAUACAACGAAAUAUAUCUAUUUAAAGAGCGAAAUAUUGAAGAGGACACAUGCUGUUUAUCGGCAAGCUUUAUGCAGCCUCGAUCCGCACACACACCGCAAGAAUCACAAAAAAGGCCAUCAAGAUUCAACAAUAGAGCCUCGCAAAUACUACAGUAAUACGUCUGUAUAUCGAAAUGCAUAUUAAAUAAAUAUUCUCACAUGACACACAAGAGAUCAUGCAAUGGUAUAAAAAAUUAUUAUUAUUAUCAUUAUGUCAAUGGAGCAAGUAGAAAAAAUACUUAUAUUAUUUAUAUUUAAAAAUGAUUAUAUUGAAAUAUAUUUGGAGUCAUAUUGAAAUACUCGGAAAUAUUUGAAAUGGAUAUUUCAUUUUAUUGCUAUAAGAAACGACCUAUUAAAAUAAUUCUAUAAAAAUUCUUGA